GUGGGGAAUUUUGGACAAUGGGGGCAACCCUGAUCCAGCAAUGCCGCGUGUGUGAAGAAGGCCUUCGGGUUGUAAAGCACUUUUGUCAGGGAAGAAAUCGCACCUGAUAAUACCGGGUGUGGAUGACGGUACCGGAAGAAUAAGGACCGGCUAACUACGUGCCAGCAGCCGCGGUAAUACGUAGGGUCCAAGCGUUAAUCGGAAUUACUGGGCGUAAAGCGUGCGCAGGCGGUUGUGCAAGACCGAUGUGAAAUCCCCGGGCUUAACCUGGGAAUUGCAUUGGUGACUGCACGGCUAGAGCGUGUCAGAGGGGGGUAGAAGUCAACGUGUAGCAGUGAAAUGCGUAGAGAUGUGGAGGAAUACCGAUGGCGAAGGCAGCCACCUGGGAUAACACUGACGCUCAUGCACGAAAGCGUGGGGAGCAAACAGGAUUAGAAACCCUGGUAGUCC
rnacentral:rRNA from 1 species